rnacentral:lncRNA from 1 species
GUACAGUUUUAUUGAAAAUUACAAUGGUAAAUCUUGUUUUUUAUUCAAAGAAUGGGUUUCAUCAGAUUUUUUAAACUGUUUUCUGAUGCUGCAGGUACUUAUGGUGGUUUUGCUGCAGUUUUUGGUAGCAAAUGGUUUUCAGGGAAAUGGCCACCGGAGUUAUUUGAUUUACACAUUACAGUGAAAGAACUUUUCCCGAUUGUGUUAGCUAUUGAUAUAUGGGGC